AAUCCAACAAAAUUGACGGAUCAUUAAUCGGAGUUACAGAUCUCGUUUUAUAUAAGUUUUAGCAAAGGACUCCAAAACAGCCAAAUGACAAAAAGUUGCUGCCCAAAAUUUUCCGGGGACUGUUUCGGACAUUUAUUUAAUGAGAAAAAUUCCAGGCUUUAGGGAAAUGAAAAUAUAUGGUAUUAAGUAGCUCGUGUCCAAAAAUGAGCUAAUUCCGAGUUAAAACGACCAAGUUAUGACCAUUACAAUUUUUGUGAUUUUCCGACGAAAAUGGCUAUAAACGGAGUUCUACAACUCCGAUUGCCACAAAAUUUAAAAUGGAG
rnacentral:lncRNA from 1 species